CCUACGGGUGGCAGCAGUGAGGAAUAUUGGUCAAUGGGCGCGAGCCUGAACCAGCCAAGUAGCGUGAAGGAUGACUGCCCUACGGUUUGUAAACUUCUUUUAUGAAGGAAUAAAGUGAGGCACGUGUGCCUGUUUGUAUUUACUUUAUGAAUAAGGAUCGGCUAACUCCGUGCCAUCAGCCGCGGUAAUACGGAGGGUCCGGGCGUUAUCCGGAUUUAUUGGGUUUAAAGGGAGAGUAGAUGGGUUGUUAAGUCAGUUGUGAAAGUUUGGGGCUCAACCGUAAAAUUGCAAUUGAUACUGGCAGUCUUGAGUACAGUUGAGGUAGGUGGAAUUCGUGGUGUAGCGGUGAAAUGCUUAGAGAUCACGAAGAACUCCGAUUGCGAAGGCAGCUUACUAAACUGCGACUGACAUUGAUGCUCGAAAGUGUGGGUAUCAAACAGGAUUAGAUACCCCAGUAGUC
rnacentral:rRNA from 1 species